AUUUCACUCCGGAUUAUCCCUUUAAAUCCUAUCUUUUAUUGACAGAGCCCUCACAAAUAAACUGAUACCAGGAAUUAACAUACAGUAGAUGGUGAUGGUGGUGGUGGCAAGGGUGCCUUCACAAGGUGCCAUGUCACAAUCUCAGUGUGGAGCCAAAGGCUGCUAUUGCAAGUCAGAUGGGGGACGAUCGAUGUAAGGCAUCAGAAAGGUGGUAUACUUGAUUUACUGCCGAAGGUACCAUCAGAGCACCACCCUACCCCUGCAGGACCAGAAGAGGACGGACAGGGGGCCAACAUUUUUUAACACUCUGACCAUGGACUAUUUAAACCAUUGAGGUAACGCAGACGUCUGAUCCCACUUGGCUAAAACAGAAGACUGAGGAGGAGUUUCUUUCCUCAUGCCAUUCGCAUCCUGAGCACACAUACUACAUUACAUGGACUUACACACUGCACUAUUUACCCCCUGACUCAUUCCGUGUCAAAUCAGACAAGGUUAUGCUGCACCGUCUCAGGCCAGUAAUAUUUUUUUGUUCAAUCCUAUGUCUUCAUAUUAUAAUGUUUGUAUGGCCUGCUCAAUGAUUUUCAUUGAAAAGUGUUCAUUAAAAGUUCAAAUGGUA